UACGUAGGUGGCAAGCGUUGUCCGGAAUUACUGGGCGUAAAGCGCGCGUAGGCGGCCUCGUAAGUCGGAUGUGAAAGCCCACGGCUCAACCUGGGAAAUCCAUUGGAAACUGGAAGGCUUGAGUGCAGAAGAGGAGGGCGGAAUUACCGGUGUAGCGGUGAAAUGCGUAGAUAUAGGGAGGAACAACAGUGGCGAAGGCGGCCCUCUGGUCCAGUACUGACGCUCAAGUGCGAAAGCGUGGGGAGCAAACAGG
rnacentral:rRNA from 1 species